AGAGUUUGAUCCUGCCUCAGGAUGAACGCUAGCGGCAGGCUUAACACAUGCAAGUCGAGGGGCAGCAUGUCCAGCAAUGGAUGAUGGCGACCGGCGAAAGGGUGCGUAACGCGUGAGCAACAUGCCCUAUACAGGGAGAUACACCAGGGAAACUUGGUCUAAUAUCCCAUAGCAUUCAUUGAAGGCAUCUUUAAUGAAUUAAAGCUUCGGUGGUAUAGGAUUGGCUCGCGUGACAUUAGCCAGAUGGUGAGGUAACGGCUCACCAUAGCAAUGAUGUCUAGGGGUUUUGAGAGGAAGGCCCCCCACACUGGGACUGAGACACGGCCCAGACUCCUACGGGAGGCAGCAGUGAGGAAUAUUGGACAAUGGAUGGAAAUCUGAUCCAGCCAUGCCGCGUGCAGGAAGACGGCCUUAUGGGUUGUAAACUGCUUUUAUACGGGAGCAAUAAGGGUUACGAGUAAUCCGAUGAGAGUACUGUAUGAAUAAGGAUCGGCUAACUCCGUGCCAGCAGCCGCGGUAAUACGGAGGAUCCGAGCGUUAUCCGGAAUUAUUGGGUUUAAAGGGUGCGUAGGCGGCCAUUUAAGUCAGCGGUGAAAUUUUGCAGCUUAACUGUAACAGUGCCGUUGAUACUGUUUGGCUAGGAUUUGGUUGUAGUGUGCGGAAUGUGUGGUGUAGCGGUGAAAUGCUUAGAUAUCACACAGAACACCGAUUGCGAAGGCAGCACACUAAGUCAUUAUUGACGCUGAGGCACGAAAGUGUGAGGAUCAAACAGGAUUAGAUACCCUGGUAGUCCACACUGUAAACGAUGAUAACUCGCUGUCGGCGAUACACAGUCGGGGCCAAGCGAAA
rnacentral:rRNA from 1 species